UACGUAGGGUGCGAGCGUUGUCCGGAAUUAUUGGGCGUAAAGAGCUCGUAGGCGGUUUGUCGCGUCGGCCGUGAAAUCUCCACGCUUAACGUGGAGCGUGCGGUCGAUACGGGCAGACUUGAGUUCGGCAGGGGAGACUGGAAUUCCUGGUGUAGCGGUGAAAUGCGCAGAUAUCAGGAGGAACACCGGUGGCGAAGGCGGGUCUCUGGGCCGUAACUGACGCUGAGGAGCGAAAGCGUGGGGAGCGAACAGG
rnacentral:rRNA from 1 species